rnacentral:lncRNA from 1 species
GGUUUUACUGUGCAUAGAGAUGGUUGAUAUUUUCCCAUCUGACCUUUGGGUUUUUUGGUUACAGAUUCAGGCCUUGUUUUGGAAAUGUUAAUCAAAGUGUUGAGUCAUUCAGAUAGUGUUCCUUUCAACUAAGAAAUGAUGGAUAAAACCUUUUUUUCAGUGCAUUCCAUUAAAGGUCAUACUGACUAGAUCCAGCAGCACAAGUUGCUUUUUUAUAGUGUGUCUGCAUUUAAGGUUCGGAAGACAAAUAGAAGACAAGCAUUUCCUCUGUAUUACCUCAAUGUAUCCACAUUUAUGCACAACUUAGUUGCAUGUUUUUUCAUGCCACCAUGUGAUUGCUUCUAUUCAAUAGAAGUAGACUAAACAAUGAUCAUUUCAUUCAGUUGGUUAUUUUUUUAGGCUCUUUGGCUCUGGUUAGUUCUAUGUUUUGAGUAGGUCACUGCCUGAUGAAUGACAGCAGUGCUUGGAUUAUUUGUUCAUAAUGAACUAAACAAGUAACUUGGCCCAUAAGGCCAUAACCAUGCUUAUGAGUAGCACCUGCAUUAUGGGUAGCACCCGCAUGGACCUGACCCAUCCACAAAUUGCAACCAACAGUGCCAUUUGAGCCGUGGUCAGCCUCACUACACUUGCAUAUAUCUUGAAUAU